rnacentral:misc_RNA from 1 species
GAGUCGUAACAAGGUUUCAGUUGGUGAACCUGCGGAAGGAUCAUUAACACGUAUCCUGCUCUUGUAUUCCGCGUAGUUCGCAUUCUCUGAUAAAUCAUAGCCCGGAAAGUUGUAGUGAUUCAGAGACCUCUGGCUACGUGCGAGCAUUGGAACAGUUACAAUCGAACGGUAGUUCUAUAGGCAAUGUUUCCCAAAGCAGUCAGUGUCGGAAAGUGUCAUUGAUUGUGCAAGGAUAGCGCUUCUACGACUCCUGUAGACCGUACACUCGGGCAGGAGCUUUGCCAAAGGGUCCCCAUGCCCCCUAAUAACCCCACAGUUUAAUGUGAAGCUCAAUGUAAUACAUUGGGUAAAAAAACCGAACAACUGCGAACAAUGGAUAUCUUGGUUCUC